AUGCUCUAUUCUAUCUCAUCUAGUUCCGAAGUUAUACGCAAAAAUGUGAAAAUAUAAAUUGCUGAUUCAGCACAACGUGUGACGUCAUUAGCUGGGUAAGUAUGUUUAUUGAAUACUACACUGAAGCAUAGCUCAGUUAUUAUGGGCCCAAAUCAAAUGAAACUUUGCAUACUGAUUGUACAUGAUGAGACGCAUGGAAAAACACUUCUAAUUUUGUUGCCAAGGUAACAAUGUCGUUUCCAGGCCCCUUACGCCAAUUUUAUGAAACAGCUUUAUUCAAGGUACUGAUACGAAUAAAAUAAUAUCAGAAGUAUGUAUAUGAUACCUAUGCAUGCCAAAAGUUUACUUGCAUGAUAAUAAUUCGAAAAUGACAUACACAUAGAUAAAUGCAACUAGUUAUUCAAAAUCAGUGUAAGAGGCCUGGGAACGACUGUGUUGCCU
rnacentral:lncRNA from 1 species